AACGAACGCUGGCGGCAUGCCUAACACAUGCAAGUCGAACGAGACCUUCGGGUCUAGUGGCGCACGGGUGCGUAACGCGUGGGAACCUGCCCUUAGGUUCGGAAUAACUCCCCGAAAGGGGUGCUAAUACCGGAUAAUGUCUUCGGACCAAAGAUUUAUCGCCUUUGGAUGGGCCCGCGUUGGAUUAGCUAGUUGGUAGGGUAAAAGCCUACCAAGGCGACGAUCCAUAGCUGGUCUGAGAGGAUGAUCAGCCACACUGGGACUGAGACACGGCCCAGACUCCUACGGGAGGCAGCAGUGGGGAAUAUUGGACAAUGGGCGAAAGCCUGAUCCAGCAAUGCCGCGUGAGUGAUGAAGGCCUUAGGGUUGUAAAGCUCUUUUACCCGGGAUGAUAAGGACAGGACCGGGAGAAUAAGCGCCGGCUAACUCCGU
rnacentral:rRNA from 1 species